CGUAUAUUUAAAUAUUAAGAUACAUCGAUGUGAUCCCCUUCAAAGUACUCCCCUCCCACCCCUAUACACUGGUUCCAACGUUUUUUCCAGCUCUCAUAACAUUUCUGGAAGGCUUCGACUGGAAUGUCCUGAAGUACCCUUGUCACGGCAUUCUGGAUGUCAGUUAUGGACUCAAAAUGUGUUCCUUUCACGGCCAAUUUUGUUUGAGGGAACAAAAAGAAGUCGCAGGGUGACAUAUCCGGCGAAUAGGGCACUUGUGGCAACACUGCGAUGUUCUUAGAGGUCAAAAAUCGCGACACACUGAAGGCACGAUGGCAUGGAGCAUUGUCAUGAUGAAGGUACCAUCUUUGCACACAGCUUUUUCAUGGACAAAUCAUCAGUUAAAAUUUUUCUGACGGUUUCUCGUUUCAAAUUAAGUUCAUCAGCCAACAUUCGAACGGUUAAACGCCGAUCUUAAUGCACGAGAGUGCGCACACGCUGAACAUUGUUGUCAGUUCGAGCUUCAACCGGUCUCCCACUUCGCGGUUCAUCCCCGACGCUUUCACGACCAUUUUUAAAAUUUGUAUGCCAUCGAAACACCUGAGCACGACUCAGGGCUUCAUCACCGAACACUUUCACCAAUUUAUCGUACGUUUCCAUAACGGAAUCGCCGAGUUUAACGCAAACUUUAUAUUACGUUGUUCCAUAUUUGUGAUACGCCUUACAAACACGUUGUCGAAAACAUAACACAACUGGAAAACUAAUUAUUGUACGAAAAUUGCAAGCACAUGUAUCGAUAGAGGAGGGAUGAGAGAUUAACCGAACGAAGUUUCAGAUUCGCAGUGUUAC